rnacentral:rRNA from 1 species
CUAAGGCUCCAGAGGAAGCCACGGCUAACUCUGUGCCAGCAGCCGCGGUAAUACAGAGGCGGCAAGCGUUGUUCGGAAUUAUUGGGCGUAAAGAGCACGUAGGCGGCCUUGCAAGUCAGUUGUGAAAGCCUUCCGCUUAACGGAAGAAUGCCAGCUGAUACUACAGGGCUUGAGUACGGGAGGGGAGAGUGGAACUUCUGGUGGAGCGGUGAAGUGCGUAGAUAUCAGAAGGAACGCCGGCGGCGAAAGCGACUCUCUGGCCCGAAACUGACGCUGAGUGUGCGAAAGCUAGGGGAGCAAACGGGAUUAGAUACCCCGGUAGUCCUAGCCGUAAG